UAUCAAUAAGCGGAGGAAAAGAAACCAACAGGGAUUGCCUCAGUAACGGCGAGUGAAGCGGCAACAGCUCAAAUUUGAAAUCUGGCCUCUUUGGGGUCCGAGUUGUAAUUUGUAGAGGAUGUUUCGGGCACCGCUCCGGUUUAAAUUUCUUGGAACAGAAUGUCAAAGAGGGUGAGAACCCCGUCUUGGACCGGCAGUAGGGCCCAUGUGAAACUCCUUCGACGAGUCGAGUUGUUUGGGAAUGCAGCUCAAAAUGGGUGGUAAAUUUCAUCUAAAGCUAAAUAUUGGCCAGAGACCGAUAGCGCACAAGUAGAGUGAUCGAAAGAUGAAAAGCACUUUGAAAAGAGAGUUAAACAGUACGUGAAAUUGUUGAAAGGGAAGCGCUUGCAACCAGACUUGCGCGCGGCGGUUCCCCCUUCCUUUUGGUUGGGUUAUUCCGCCGUGUCCAGGCCAACAUCGGUUCUGGGGGUCGGUUAAAGGCCUGGGGAAUGUAUCUACCCUUCGGGCGUAGACUUAUAGCCCCGGGUGUCAUGCGACCUCCCGGGACCGAGGAACGCG
rnacentral:rRNA from 1 species